ACGAACUCUGGUAUUGAUUGGUGCUUGCAUCAUGAUUUACAUUUGAGUGAGUGGCGAACUGGUGAGUAACACGUGGGAAACCUGCCCAGAAGCGGGGGAUAACACCUGGAAACAGAUGCUAAUACCGCAUAACAACUUGGACCGCAUGGUCCGAGCUUGAAAGAUGGCUUCGGCUAUCACUUUUGGAUGGUCCCGCGGCGUAUUAGCUAGAUGGUGGGGUAAUGGCUCACCAUGGCAAUGAUACGUAGCCGACCUGAGAGGGUAAUCGGCCACAUUGGGACUGAGACACGGCCCAAACUCCUACGGGAGGCAGCAGUAGGGAAUCUUCCACAAUGGACGAAAGUCUGAUGGAGCAACGCCGCGUGAGUGAAGAAGGGUUUCGGCUCGUAAAACUCUGUUGUUAAAGAAGAACAUAUCUGAGAGUAACUGUUCAGGUAUUGACGGUAUUUAACCAGAAAGCCACGGCUAACUACGUGCCAGCAGCCGCGGUAAUACGUAGGUGGCAAGCGUUGUCCGGAUUUAUUGGGCGUAAAGCGAGCGCAGGCGGUUUUUUAAGUCUGAUGUGAAAGCCUUCGGCUCAACCGAAGAAGUGCAUCGGAAACUGGGAAACUUGAGUGCAGAAGAGGACAGUGGAACUCCAUGUGUAGCGGUGAAAUGCGUAGAUAUAUGGAAGAACACCAGUGGCGAAGGCGGCUGUCUGGUCUGUAACUGACGCUGAGGCUCGAAAGUAUGGGUAGCAAACAGGAUUAGAUACCCUGGUAGUCCAUACCGUAAACGAUGAAUGCUAAGUGUUGGAGGGUUUCCGCCCUUCAGUGCUGCAGCUAACGCAUUAAGCAUUCCGCCUGGGGAGUACGGCCGCAAGGCUGAAACUCAAAGGAAUUGACGGGGGCCCGCACAAGCGGUGGAGCAUGUGGUUUAAUUCGAAGCUACGCGAAGAACCUUACCAGGUCUUGACAUACUAUGCAAAUCUAAGAGAUUAGACGUUCCCUUCGGGGACAUGGAUACAGGUGGUGCAUGGUUGUCGUCAGCUCGUGUCGUGAGAUGUUGGGUUAAGUCCCGCAACGAGCGCAACCCUUAUUAUCAGUUGCCAGCAUUAAGUUGGGCACUCUGGUGAGACUGCCGGUGACAAACCGGAGGAAGGUGGGGAUGACGUCAAAUCAUCAUGCCCCUUAUGACCUGGGCUACACACGUGCUACAAUGGAUGGUACAACGAGUUGCGAACUCGCGAGAGUAAGCUAAUCUCUUAAAGCCAUUCUCAGUUCGGAUUGUAGGCUGCAACUCGCCUACAUGAAGUCGGAAUCGCUAGUAAUCGCGGAUCAGCAUGCCGCGGUGAAUACGUUCCCGGGCCUUGUACACACCGCCCGUCACACCAUGAGAGUUUGUAACACCCAAAGUCGGUGGGGUAACCUUUUAGGAACCA
rnacentral:rRNA from 1 species